rnacentral:misc_RNA from 1 species
UCUCCGUUGGUGAACCAGCAGAGGGAUCAUUAAAGAGUUCUAUAACUCCCAAACCCAUGUGAACAUACCUUACGUUGCCUCGGCAGGUCGCGCCUACCCCGUAACGUCCUACCCUGUAGGACCUACCCGGUAGACGCGGGUAAGCCUGCCGGCGGCCCACGAAACUCUGUUUAAUAUUGAAUUCUGAACCUAAAACUAAAUAAGUUAAAACUUUCAACAACGGAUCUCUUGGUUCUG